GAUGAAGAACGCAAGCGAAAUGCGAUAAGUAAUGCGAAUUGCAGAUUUCAGUGAGUCAUCGAAUCUUUGAACGUACAUUGCACCCGCCAGUAUUCUGGCGGGCAUGCCUGUUCGAGCGUCAUUUCAACCAUCAAGCCCCCGGGCUUGCGUUGGGGCCCUGCGGCUGCCGCAGGCCCCGAAAAGCAGUGGCGGGCUCGCUGUCACACCGAGCGCAGUAGCGAUUCUCGCUCCGGGCGUCGGCGGCGGGCACCGGCCGUGAAACCCCCCCACAUCCACAAGGUUGACCUCGGAUCAGGUAGGAAUACCCGCUGAACUUAAGCAUAUCAAUAAGCGGAGGA
rnacentral:misc_RNA from 1 species